rnacentral:rRNA from 1 species
UACGUAGGGCGCAAGCGUUGUCCGGAAUUAUUGGGCGUAAAGAGCUCGUAGGCGGUGUGUCGCGUCGGCCGUGAAAACUUGCAGCUUAACUGUGGGCGUGCGGUCGAUACGGGCAUCACUGGAGUUCGGCAGGGGAGACUGGAAUUCCGGGUGGAGUGGUGAAAUGCGUAGAGAUCCGGGAGGAACACCAGAGGCGAAGGCGGCGCACCGGGCUGCACCUGACGCUGAUCCGCGAAAGCCAGGGGAGCGAACGGG